ensembl:lncRNA
AGAUCUUUUGCUUGAAGACUUCAUCUGCUCCUGCUUGCCACAGCUCAGAAGCCAAUAAUCCUCUCCGUGAUAUCAGGCAUGCUUGCCUGAUACCAUGCCAAGGACAGCGCAUGAGAUUCUUGGGCAUGUGGAAUAGGAACAACAGAUGAGAAACCGCAACAGAUGCAAGGAGCAGUUCUGUGUUGAUCACCCUUGUUGCCCUGUUCUGAAGCUUUUCCAGCCAACCUACACCUCUAGAGAAAGAAAGAUCAGAACUGCAGGCAGUAUUCCAG